CAAACUGUGUUUUAUGCUAGUUAGAUGUUUUGUAACAGGUCUUCGGGGUCACAUGGGUUGAUGUGACGGGGGAGAUUAUUGGGCCUGAUGUGUGAUGGGGGAGAUUGUUGGGUUUAGUCCCACAUCGGUAAUUGAUGAUGGGGGAGCACGACUUAAAAGGUGGGGGCGGUCCUCACCCAUCAGACUAGUCUUUUGGGUUGUGUAGGGCUAGGACCUAAAGUUGUGGCUCCGAUUAGGCCUGUGGUGGAGCAGGUCCAAUGUGACCUAGGUGGCCCACGGUUGGUGGGCCAGGCUGCGCACUGUAACAAAUAUGAUUUGUGCUAAAAGGUUAAAAUAAAAACAUGGUGUUUUGAAUUUCUGAACAUGCUCACUAAACAAGUGAAACGUGCCUUAGGUCAUGUUGAGUACAUGGAGAACGUUGUAGAAUCUGAAGAAGUGUUCUCUUACUCUAGAUGUCUUAAGCAAAAAGGUAUUAAGGUUAAUUAUGAAAAUUGUGAUAAUUUGAGUAGGGAAAUGUUAACAGUGAAAUUUUGCAAGAUAUAAUCGGAUUUGGAGAUAGAUGUCUUAAGCAAAAAGGUGUUAAGGUUAAUUAUGAAAAUUGUGAUAAUUUGAGUAGGGAAAUGUUAACAGUGAAAUUUGGCAAGAUAUAAUCAGAUUUGGAGAUAGAUAUCGAAGCGGAUUUGAAGGAGAUUGAAUCUUGCCAAAAACAGACUGCACAUUGGCUGGGCAGCGUAUCGGCUGGAAAUAGAGUCGGGAACUAAUUCGGCCGAUAUGGAAAGUGGCCAAUACAGCUUGACUUGGGCUUAGUUUGGGCCUCGAUUGAACUAACCGACAUUGCCGUAUAGAGAUACAACUUAUUUAAGGCAAUAGUAUCUAUUAAUUAGGAUAUUAAAGUCGGUUUGAAUUACACAUAUGGUAAGAGUCUGCCAUGUGGACUUGUUUGAUGUUUUUAUCUUUAGGAAAGUUUGAGCAGUGUCCAUAAUGGACAAGUUUUGUACUUUGGGUAUAAAUAUAAAUCCAAGAUCAUUGUAAAACAGGACGACAAUCCAAUUAAUACAACUUUCGGCGCAUCGCCACCUUUUCUUUUAAGUUUUCGACGAGUUCUUGCUUCAAGUCAGGGUCAGGGCCGGCCCUGGGGUAGGGCGGACAGUGCGACCGCCCUGGGCCCCUAGGCGUCAGGUGGCCCAACCGGCUAUACACUGCUAUACGUGCAUAUAUAGUGCGUUUGGUUGCUUUGCGCAGGAGUAUUAAGUUAAUCUCACCUUUAAAACCAGACCAUUAAUUUACAGUGUUUAUCAUGUUGCCCAUUCUUGUGUAUGCUAAAAUAGCACCCUAAACAGAAUGAUUAGACUGAACUCAUGGUAAUUAGUACCUUUGUAUUUUUUUUUCCUAUUUAAUUCACUCCUCUUGUGAUCUUGCACCAAUUUAUUGAAGAUGUAUUUGUCGCUAGUAUGUCUUGUAUGCAUUCUACUCUUUUCACUAGGCUUAGAUAUUGCUUUUAAGGGUGAUGUUUAAUGACAUUUAAAUUCUUUUACUUGAAAUAAAGAAAUAUGCAAUGUUUAAACCAGUGUUUAUUUUGAAUGACUAAUGCUUAUAUAUAUGCUUGAUUGGAUUGUUAUUCCUUAAAUUACUCUUUGUUUGUUCCAAAUGCCGCAAGUGAAAAUAUUGCUUGUAUUUACUUUUAAGAGAGGUAACAAUGAAUACCGAAUCCUUGGAAACAAUCUUGACGACAAUGACAUAUUCACGGUGAGGAAAAUAAUGAGUACAUAAUCCUUGGAAACAGUCUUGACGACAAGGAUGCACUUGAAAUAAUUGAGAGAUUUUAUGUUCAAUGUCAAACUGAGCACAAAAAUUUCAAAUAAAAGCUGAAAGUUCUCUUGGAGUUAAUUUGAGACUGAAUAAUAAUGCAAUUGGUAUAUGUCUAGGGGUUUUCUUUUAUUCUCUGUACUUGUGAAUAUGUUGCGUUAUAAAUUGUUUGAAAUCAUGAAUUUUGAUUGUUGAUUUGAUUUUACUAGUAAUAUCUUUGGUUCAUGAUUGUACUCUAGUGUAUGCUUGCUAUCUAGUUGAUGACUUUAUCUUCUAUUGCGACACAUGACCUUGAAUUGCUUUAUGUAUAAUUCCAAGCUCUUGAAAGUAAAUAAGUACUAAAUGCUAAUGCUUGAUGAAAUCAUUGUCAGGAGGAGAAAAGAUAUACAAAAUGUGCAUAUUUUCAAAUGCUAGGGAAAUUUUUUUCUUUUCAAGUGAGAGAAAUUUGUUUUUUGAAUUUUGAGCACUUCGAUGGGGAGAUUAUAAAAUUGAUAUGUGUUUGAUCUUUAUUUGAUGAACAAUUGGCAUAUGGGAUAUUGUUUUUGAUAUUUGUAAAUUAUUGGAAAAGUGGUUUUGGAGAUGGUUGAUUUUUAGAUGAUGAACAUGAUGUUUGUCUCACGGUUGUGGUCACAGCGGCUAGGCUAGGCCGAUCAUACCAGUGCUAGGUGUGUGGUAAGACCAGUCGGCCCGAUAGUCUGACCGACCAGCUCUAUGACGGUUGUUUCUUUGAAUAUGUGUGAUUAAUUCAUGUUUAUGGCUUCUAUAUGGAUACUAUACAUAUGUAAUACUAUUGUGUGCUAACAUUGAGCCAAGUUGGAGAGAACAUGUACUCGGAUAUGGUUUCUUGGUUGAUGUAUGUGUAGGUGAGUCUUGAUGCCUCGGAAGAAUGUUGCCGGUGAUGGAUCGGAAGUCAAUUUGGGAGAAGAUGGUGUUCGGACGAGCAGGAUAUCAUACGGGAUACUUACUCCGAAGAUCAACACACGUUGUUGGUGAAGAUUUCAUAUAUAUGGCGUAUGAUAGAGAAAUUGUGUGCGUAUGGGAUACGGAGUAGAAUUUGGAAAAGAGUCCAAAUUUGGUGCGGUUGGACUUUGUAAAGUUUGUUUCUUGUAGGGGAAGGUUUUCUAAGAUCUUAAGACUUAUUGUACAAAUUGGGUUUGUGGCUUUAGGCUGUCUUACCUUAGAUAUAAAUAGGUAUGGAGGGUGAGGCCUCUUGGUAUUGAUUGGGUGAGAAUUAAGUUUAGAUAAAAGUUAGGAUCUUGAGUUUAGUCGAGAUUUUUGAGAGGAGUUUUGUUGUUGCACCUUGUAAACAGAAUAAAAGUAAUGAAGUUUAAUCUACUUUGAAAUC
rnacentral:sRNA from 1 species